rnacentral:rRNA from 1 species
ACCCGGAAGUCGGUGUCCUAACCCGCGAAGGGAGGGAGCCGCCCGAAGGUGGNUGUGACUGGGGUG